rnacentral:lncRNA from 1 species
UAGGUUUGAUUGUGUGGUGUUUGUGAGAGUGAUACCUGGAGCUGAUGUGAGUAAAACAGUGUCUAUGAUACAGGGGAUGCUAAUACCCAGCUAUAUCUACAAAAACAUCAUCCUAAAAACAAACCCAGCAUCUAUAAACAUCCUCUCAGUAGCCGUCUAUCCCAAUGUGACUUCAAAUCCUGCUUUGACCACUGUUGCACCAGACUUGUCUCAAACCACAAAGAGUCCCGACACUGGAAGUACAAAUGUUACAACAUCAGGAACUCGCACAUCAUUACAAACACUG